rnacentral:rRNA from 1 species
CCUACGGGCGGCAGCAGUGGGGAAUAUUGCACAAUGGGGGAAACCCUGAUGCAGCGACGCCGCGUGAGCGAUGAAGUAUUUCGGUAUGUAAAGCUCUAGCAGCAGGGCAGAAAAUGACGGUACCUGACUAAGAAGCCCCGGCUAACGACGUGCCAGCAGCCGCGGUAAUACGUAGGGGGCAAGCGCUAUCAGGAUUUACUGUGUGUAAAGGGAGCGUAGACGGUCCUGCAAGCCAGAUGUGAAAGCCCGGGGCUCAACCCCGGGACUGCAUUUGGAACUGUAAGGCUAGAGUGUGGGAGAGGCAGGCGGAAUUCCUGGUGUAGCAGUGAAAUGCGUAGAUAUUAGGAGGAACACCAGUGGCGAAGGCGGCUUGCUGGACGAUGACUGACGUUGAGGCUCGAAAGCGUGGGGAGCAAAAAGGAUUAGAUACCCCAGUAGUC